AGUAAUGCCCAGGAAACUGCCCAGUAGUGGGGGAUAGCCCGGGGAAACCCGGAUUAAUACCGCAUACGCCCUUUGGGGGAAAGCAGGGGAUCUUCGGACCUUGCGCUAUUGGAUGUGCCUAUGUCGGAUUAGCUAGUUGGUGGGGUAAAGGCCUACCAAGGCGACGAUCCGUAGCUGGUCUGAGAGGAUGAUCAGCCACAUCGGGACUGAGACACGGCCCGAACUCCUACGGGAGGCAGCAGUGGGGAAUAUUGGACAAUGGGGGCAACCCUGAUCCAGCCAUGCCGCGUGUGUGAAGAAGGCUUUCGGGUUGUAAAGCACUUUCAGCAAGGAGGAAAACGUGUUGGUUAAUAACCAGCAUGCUUGACGUUACUUGCAGAAGAAGCACCGGCUAACUCCGUGCCAGCAGC
rnacentral:rRNA from 1 species